rnacentral:ribozyme from 1 species
AGCAAAAGAUUUUUACAAACAAAAAGAAAGAAAGAAAUGCGUGAUCGACAUUUGUUUUUGUCUUUUUUUAUUAUUUUUGUUUU